GCGCAACCCUUGUCUUUAGUUGCCAGUAUUCAGUUAGGCACUCUAAGAGACUGCCUCGGUUAACGGGGAGGAAGGUGGGGAUGACGUCAAGUCCUCAUGGCCUUUAUACCCAGGGCUACACACGUGCUACAAUGGGCUGUACAAAGGGUUGCUAUCCCGUGAGGGGGCGCUAAUCCCAAAAAGCAGUCCUAAGUUCGGAUUGAAGUCUGCAACUCGACUUCAUGAAGUUGGAAUCGCUAGUAAUCGUGGAUCAGCACGCCACGGUGAAUACGUUCCCGGGCCUU
rnacentral:rRNA from 1 species